AGCGAACGCUGGCGGCAGGCUUAACACAUGCAAGUCGAGCGGGCACUUUCGGGUGUCAGCGGCGGACGGGUGCGUAACGCGUGGGAACGUGCCCUCUGGUUCGGAAUAACUCAGGGAAACUUGAGCUAAUACCGGAUACGCCCUUUUGGGGAAAGGCUUGCUGCCGGAGGAUCGGCCCGCGUCUGAUUAGCUAGUUGGUGAGGUAACGGCUCACCAAGGCGACGAUCAGUAGCUGGGCUGAGAGGAUGAUCAGCCACACUGGGACUGAGACACGGCCCAGACUCCUACGGGAGGCAGCAGUGGGGAAUAUUGGACAAUGGGCGCAAGCCUGAUCCAGCCAUGCCGCGUGAGUGAUGAAGGCCUUAGGGUUGUAAAGCUCUUUUAUCCGGGACGAUAAUGACGGUACCGGAGGAAUAAGCCCCGGCUAACUUCGUG
rnacentral:rRNA from 1 species